rnacentral:rRNA from 1 species
AGCGUAGGCGGAGGAAUAAGUUAGGAGUUUAAUGUACGGGCUUAACCCGUAAUCUGCUCCUAAUACUGUUUUUCUUGAGUAUGGGAGAGGGAGAUGGAAUUCCAGGUGUAGCGGUGGAAUGCGUAGAUAUCUGGAAGAACACCAGCUGCGAAGGCGGUCUCCUGGCCCAAUACUGACGCUGAGGCUCGAAAGCUAGGGGAGCAAACAGGAUUAGAUACCCUGGUAGUCCUAGCCGUAAACGAUGGACACUAGAUGCAGGAGGAGUCAAUCCUUUCUGUGUCGUAGCUAACGCGUUAAGUGUCCCGCCUGGGGAGUACGCUCGCAAGGGUGAA